CUCUCUCUUUAAAAUAAAAAUAAAAAAAUCUUUCAAACAAACAAAAAUACCUCCUACCUUUGCUUUAUAAACUUAAUUUCCUUCAGUGUUUGUUCUUCCACUGGCUCUGGUGUCUCUCAUGGGGUAGGCCUUCUUCAAAUAUUUUCUUCAUUCCUUUCUUCCCCUGAUGGUCAUCUUUCUGUUCUACUGUGCGUUUCUCUUCCUCUACUGGUAAGUUAACUUACUAAAGAAAAAAAAAAAAGUUUAGAACUGAUAUUAUCAGAGUCAAAAGUAAACCCAUCAUCUCCCACCUACUCAAGACCAGAGCUUUCACAUGGGUUCCAAGAUGCUUUUCUUUGAUUUUAAGAAUCUUCCAAAUCACUUGCAUCAGAUUUCACAACCACAUUUUCAUCAUUUAUUCAAAUGUCACUAAGUUGGUCUGGAUUUAUUGCUUACCACUAUUUCUUGCAUUUUCCUAAAAAAAAAAAAA